rnacentral:rRNA from 1 species
GAUGAACGCUGGCGGCGUGCCUAAUACAUGCAAGUCGAGCGAACGGACGAGAAGCUUGCUUCUCUGAUGUUAGCGGCGGACGGGUGAGUAACACGUGGAUAACCUACCUAUAAGACUGGGAUAACCUCGGGAAACCGUAGCUAAUACCGGAUAAUAUUUUGAACCGCAUGGUUCAAAAGUGAAUGACGGUCUUGCUGUCACUUAUAGAUGGAUCCGCGCUGCAUUAGCUAGUUGGUAAGGUAACGGCUUACCAAGGCAACGGUGCAUAGCCGACCUGUGAGGGGGAUCGGCCACGCAGGAGAUGAGCCGCGGUACAGAAUCCACGGGAGGCAGCAGUAGGGAAUCUUACGCAAUGGACGAAAGCCUGGCGGAGCAACGCGGCGUGAGUGAUGAAGGUCUUCGGAUCGUAAAACUCGGUUAUUAGGGAAGAACAUAUGUGUAAGUUACUGUGCACAUCUUGACGGUACCUAAUCAGAAAGCCACGGCUAACUACGUG